rnacentral:rRNA from 1 species
GACGAACGCUGGCGGCGUGCCUAAUACAUGCAAGUCGAACGAGAGCGACCGGUGCUUGCACUGGUCAAUCUAGUGGCGAACGGGUGAGUAACACGUGGGUAACCUGCCCAUCAGAGGGGGAUAACAUCCGGAAACGGAUGCUAAAACCGCAUAGGUCUUCGAGCCGCAUGGCUUGAAGAGGAAAAGAGGCGCAAGCUUCUGCUGAUGGAUGGACCCGCGGUGCAUUAGCUAGUUGGUGAGGUAACGGCUCACCAAGGCCGUGAUGCAUAGCCGACCUGAGGGGGUGAUCGGCCACAUUGGGACUGAGACACGGCCCAAACUCCUACGGGAGGCAGCAGUAGGGAAUCUUCCGCAAUGGACGCAAGUCUGACGGAGCAACGCCGCGUGAGUGAAGAAGGUUUUCGGAUCGUAAAACUCUGUUGUUAGAGAAGAACAAGUGCUAGAGUAACUGUUAGCGCCUUGACGGUAUCUAACCAGAAAGCCACGGCUAACUACGUG